AGCAGUAGCCACGGGAAUACGAGGGGGGCAAGCGUUGUUCGGAUUUAUUGGGCGUAAAGGGUGCGUAGGCGGUUUGAUAAGUCUGAUGUGAAAUCUAUGGGCUCAACCCAUAGUCUGCAUUAGAAACUGUCGGGCUUGAGUAUGGGAGAGGUGAGUGGAGUUUCCGGUGUAGCGGUGAAAUGCGUAGAUAUCGGAAGGAACACCUGUGGCGAAAGCGGCUCACUGGACCAUAACUGACGCUGAUGCACGAAAGCUAGGGGAGCAAACAGGAUUAGAUACCCCCGUAGUCCCUGUCUCUUAUAC
rnacentral:rRNA from 1 species